GUGGAAGCAGUAAAAUGUCUCCAGUUAAUGCUACAAGCAUGGAGUGGCUUCUGGAAUUAUCAAAGCAGAGGCACUGGCUGGGAUCUGCAUUCUGUCCCUGCUUCCACAAGGAGUAUGAGGAACACUGAGCAACACCACCACAGCUUGUUUCUCCUCAACAUAAGGUAUGACAGACCCAAACUACAUCCCUCUGCCCUUGGUCAGAAAGGGCAUCCAUAGUCCUCCCACUCUUCCCAUUCACCAUCUCCCCCUUUUCACACCCAGAAAACACAAAGUGUUGUGCAAUGCCUGUAAAGCUUACAUAGUAUAGGCCAGGCCUUGAAAAGGUACUUUAGUUCUGUCUUGGUUUGGGGGAUAUAAACAGGGAUUUGGGGAUAUAAUGUUUAUAAUUUUGCUUUGGGUAAGGUGCCAUUUACCAGUGAGAUUGUACAGCCCUGACCUACGGGCCAGUCCACAAGGGAAGGAGGCAAGCUGGAAUAUGGGAUCAUGAGUUCUUUACCUGCAAGAAGAGGCUCGUGCAGGGGUGUUAUUGCUGAGUAUAAUACACCCUUCCAAAGGAAGCUGCACUUUUGUCUAAUGAAGCCUUUACCUGAGAGGUAAUGAAAGCUGAUUGCUGUACUCCUCAGGCUCAUGGCUUCCUUUGGAGUAUCUUUUACUCCUCAAAUGCUGAUAAUAUCAAUCUGGAUUGAAGGAGAGACUGUAGGGAUGGUCUGAAUAUCAGGAUUACUCACCAGCCCUACAGGACUGAUCUUCCUCCUGCUCACCUGAGCAGUAGCAGG
rnacentral:lncRNA from 1 species